UGAAUUCAUGUCUACGCCACUCCCCUCAGCUGGUCAUAAAGUUGAUUUCUGUGUCUCUUCCUCAGGUUAAACUGGUUGAAAGGUUUGGCAAGGCUUAUUAAACUCAUUUAAACACUGCUUUGAAUAAUUUAGACAAUGUUUCAUAGUCGUCAUAGACCUCUUGGAUACGUUUUACCAGCGUUACAUCAUUAGAAGAAAGAUACGGAGCUACACCACCAGCGUCAAUGGAAAUCUCUGCAGAAGACCAGCAAGUUCCACCCUCCUGUCCCGUGUCCACGCCUGCUCCUGAUGAACCUCAGACCAGAGCAGACUUCUUAAAAUAUUACUAUCGCCUCACCCUGGACCCGAACACAGCGUACAGAGAGCUGGUUCUGUCUGAGGGGAACAGAAAGGUGGUGCUCACAGAUUUGGUCCAGGAGUAUCCUGAACAUCCAGACAGGUUCUCUCACCUUUAUCAGGUGCUGUGUAGGGAGGGUCUGUCUGGACGUUGUUACUGGGAGGUGGAGUUUCAAGGGUCUGUUGAAAUUGCUGUGGCCUACAGAGACCUCGGCAGAUCUGACUAUUAUUCAGAAUGUGCGUUUGGCUGCAACGCCAAAUCCUGGAGUUUAGACAUAAAUGGGAAUGAUAAAUGUUUCAGACACAAUGAUGAGAGACAGCGGUGCCAGAGCCUCAGUCCUCCAGAGUUGGUGUGUUCCUCGAUCACAGGGCGGGGAGUCUGACCUUCUAUUGUGUCUGUGACUCAACGCUGCAGCUGCUGCACAAAGAAGAAACCGCGUUCACAGAGCCACUCUACCCCGGACUGUGGGUCGUAGACACCGCCCAGCUGUGUGACCCGGAGUAGAGUUCCAACCGAAAAGUGUCUCGUGGUGGAGUCGAGGAGGGAUAUGGUGCCCUCAUGUUUGAGAAAGUGCUCUCUUGGAUGCCUGUAUCCUGGAGUUAGAGUGUCCUCUACGGUGGCCCAGUGAUGAAGAAAUUAUGUUAAAUUGGACCAAAGUCUCAGUGGCCCGCACCCCUACAAUGUAUCUCAAACAGACUGUUACCAACUGAAAGAGACUCAAACUGAGCUCAAAGAAAGAAACACAUGAUACAUAGAAACACAAAAAUACAGCAGAGACCAAAACAACAACAAAGAGAAGCAAAACAGCUGCAAAAUGACUACAAAUAAACAGAAAAACAAAAAAGAAUGUGUAAUAUAUUGUUUGCUAAUGGUUGGUUUAUCUUAACUUUAGUCCAGAGUGAAAAAUCUGAAUUAAUAUUGCAAGGAUUGUCAUAGGGCAGACAUUCAUGUUCCCCAGAGGAUGAAUUUAAAUGACCUGGGCAAACUGGUGACCUUUAACCUAAUGCAUUUUUCAAACAUACUGUAUCUUUUGUACAACACAAUUGUGCAGAAUUAAGUUAUAACUCAAAAGGUAUUGUAUCUUAAUUGUGUGUAUUAAAUGCAUUAUCCAGUUUU